GCCGAGGUAGCUCAGCUGGUAGAGCACCUGCCUGAAGAGCAGGGUGUCGCCGGUUCAAGUCCGGCCCUCGGCA
rnacentral:tRNA from 2 species